rnacentral:lncRNA from 1 species
CGAGUCAGUCGUCAUUCGACUGGUAGACUUCAGCUGUGAGGUUCGUGCGGUUGGCCCUUUAGUAUUUUAAACCUUCAGGCUGUCAAGCAGAAACAAAAAUGAGUCUAAUCAACAAUCUUUCAAGCACGCACUGGCAGGAAGUGGAGAAUUCUUCAAGUGAUGGUCUAGAAUUCAAAGAGUACAUGAUUACACGUUCCCAAAAAGACGGAAGCGUUUACAAAUACGCUGUCCGUGCCACUGACGAUAACGACGCCCCUCCGAGGAUAUUUCAUUUGGAAGGCGGAGACGAGAGGAAAGACCCUCUGAAGGAAUACCGCACGUUGGAGAUCGUGACGCGCGCCGAUGGAAACAAGGUCUAUAUUACUGGGAUCAGAAAUGGCGGAGAUUGCGUUGUGAAGAUCUGAUCACAGAUCAGGAAAUCAGGAGUCCUAAUUAUUUUGUCAUGGAUAUACGCUUAAACUGUCGUGUUAAAAUCGUUGGAUACUGAAGUAGUUUAGCUCAGCUUGUGUAACAUUUUACGACUGAGCCUUUGAUACAUGGGUUCAAUUUUACCGACAUUUAUCCUUUGGGACCUUUAGGUAGGGUUGUUACUAAAUGAAUACUCCUAAAUUAAGUUUCCGAGUAUGGACUGGAACUGAAUAAAUUAUUUUUCGGUUUAUGUUCCAGUCUUUACUCGGAAACUUGAUUUUGGAGUAUCCAUACCUAAAGGGGUCGCUUGGACGCUAGCAGUGGUUCGUUCCAUUAUAUGCGCUUCGGCGCGAGUGCUACUUCGCCGGUAGGAAAUUAUGAAGCCUGGUGCGAGACGAAUCGGCGAGAAGUCCGCCAAGGGGUCUGGCACUGAAAUCAGUCCCAGACUCCCGGCAGCUUCUUCCCGACUCGUCUCAAAUCUUUCUAAGGCGGAGAAAUGCGAGUCCUGCAGCACUAAAAGUGAGGGCUUGCUUGCAGGGUAUCCCAAAGGGAACUAACCCCUGCUUGCGACCAGGCGAUCCCUCCCUAAAGAUCUCAAAGGGAUGAAACAUUUUUCCCGUCGGGUAACAUCGUGUAAAUUAGCUAACUAAAUAGUUCCGUGAUUUCAUAUAAAGCGAUUAGGAAUUAUCUUUUAGACUUCUCAUAAUUUUAAUCACCUCCGGAUCCAGUUAUUGUCAUGAUAUCUGUGGCCAAUAAUUUGAUUUUGAAAUAUCAGAAAUGUAAAGUUAUUUUGUAUCAUUUUAAUUAAGGUGGUCACUGUUGCGUUUCUUUUGAAAAGCAACAAGGCAUGCAAUCAAAUAAAGUCACGUACAGCCGUAAUUUGAACGAAGCUAGGUUUCCGUGAGGAGACUGAAACACUGGAACUACGUCUACGUUUGUUAGCCUGGUUCCAUUAUCUGCAUUUUCGUUCUUAACCUCCAUCGCUGUAAUCAGAUAAGGUGGAACUGUCCUCAUUUAAACCCCUUUAAAUGUUGAUCUUAAAUGGAACGCUCAUGUAGAUGAGAUAGUAAAGAAAGUCAACAAGCGGCUUUAUACUUCCUACGCUGAUUAAACCGCGCCCAGGUCAAGUCUAAGGAGCUCGUUUUAUUCUGUCUUACAUGUAUUAGAUCUGUUAUGGAAUACGCAACCGCGCUCUUUCACAGCAACCUACCUCAACAUCUAUCAGUUGAUUAAGAAAGAUGCCAGAAGCGUGCAUUACGUAUAAUUUUCCCUGAUAAAGAAUAUGACGAGGCGCUAGCGUGUACUGGGCUUAUCUCGCUGCAUGAGCGGCGCGAGAAUAUUGCCAACAAGCUUUUUCUAACGUUCUUGUAGCAGGUCACAAGCUGCAUAAGCUCCUGCCGCCCAGGAAUGUAUCCAGAGUGGACUUAAGGAAAAAGCGCGCUUUCAAUUUACCUGUGGUCCGUACGAACAGGUGACGUCAUAGUUUUAUCUUUCAUCAUUCACGCACGCUUUGCAUAAGCUGACCUUAUUGUAAGUUACCUAAUUUUUAAUAUUUUAGAAGUAUGUUACCAUUUCUUAUAUAUUUCUUAAUAUUGUAAAUGAAUGCGUAAUUCAAGCUUUGGUUGCAGUGUUUUUCAAAUAAACUAUCUAUCUAUCUACCUUUAA